UACGGAGGAUGCGAGCGUUAUUCGGAUUUAUUGGGUUUAAAGGGUGCGUAGGCGGAUCGUUAAGUCAGUGGUCAAAUUGAGGGGCUCAACCCCUUCCCGCCAUUGAAACUGGCGAUCUUGAGUGGAAGAGAAGUACGCGGAAUGCGUGGUGUAGCGGUGAAAUGCAUAGAUAUCACGCAGAACCCCGAUUGCGAAGGCAGCAUGCCGGCUUCCUACUGACGCUGAGGCACGAAAGCGUGGGGAGCAAAUAGG
rnacentral:rRNA from 1 species